rnacentral:snoRNA from 1 species
AGGGUUAGCGAUGAUUAUAAAACUAAUUUCUCAUUCUAAGUUACUUAAUUUGAACAUGACAAAUCUCUUAUUAUAACCAUAGAAUUUUAGCUCC